GAUUAAAAAAACAAAUUAAAACAUUCAAGAGCAGGUAAAAAUGAUAAAAAAAAAAAACAAAAAAACAUUUCUCCGACCACAGGUCCUUUUGGCUCAGGUGACUUGGUAUUUUCCUUACCCAUUACAAGAUUGCAGUAGCUCUACUUUUCACUACGAUGUAGCCGUCGCUACAAAGCUUAAUCUCGGUAAACCUUGCUAAAUCCGGGACAGUUCACAGUCUGUCUCUUGAUAAAUUCACAGAAAUAUCUGACAAGUUCACAGACGUUGUCUUUCUUAUUGACCUAGUUCACAGACUAAAUCUGACAUGUU